AAGAAAAGAGGAUCGCGGAGCUUGAGGAGCAAAUGAAGGAAGCUGAAGAAGGAUGUACAGAACUUUGUACUCAAAUACAGAAGGCUGAUUUUUUAUUGAGUGAAAACAAAAGGCUUUUCAUGAAGAGAUAUCAGCCACUUGAAGAUGAAGAAACCUUUCCUAUAACCCCAAAGCAAAACGUCCCUGAAAUCACAGUAACUCCAAGAAACUCUGA
rnacentral:misc_RNA from 1 species